rnacentral:rRNA from 1 species
GAUGAACGCUAGCGGGAGGCCUAACACAUGCAAGCCGAGCGGUAUUUCUUCUUCGGAAGAGAGAGAGCGGCGCGCGGGUGCGUAACACGUGUGCAACCUACCUUUAUCUGGGGGAUAGCCUUUCGAAAGGAAGAUUAACACCCCAUAAUAUAUUGAAUGGCAUCAUUUGAUAUUGAAAACUCCGGUGGAUAAAGAUGGGCACGCGCAAGAUUAGGUAGUUGGUGAGGUAACGGCUCACCAAGUCAAUGAUCUUUAGGGGUCCUGAGAGGGAGAUCCCCCACACUGGUACUGAGACACGGACCAGACUCCUACGGGAGGCAGCAGUGAGGAAUAUUGGACAAUGGGUGAAAGCCUGAUCCAGCCAUCCCGCGUGAAGGAUGACGGUCCUAUGGAUUGUAAACUUCUUUUGUACAGGAAUAAACCUACUCUCGUGAGAGUAGCUGAAGGUACUGUACGAAUAAGCACCGGCUAACUCCGUGCCAGCCGCCGCGGUAA